GUAAUCGGUUUGCUUUUAAAUGGUUUGCGUCAUGACUAACAUUGUAUUACUGUUGUUUUAUUAAUUUAGUUUAUUAUGCAGGCAAUGUGAAUAGCAAGAAGAAAGUAUAUUAUGACAUUUGUUGUGGAUACUAAGUGAAAGCAAUUAUAAAAAAUGCACUAUAUGACAUUUUGGAAUUUAUCAUAGCUAAAACAAAGCUACGAGUAGCACAUCCUGCGGAAAUGGCGACAAUGAGGGUGACGGUUGCAAGCGUGGACUAGCAGAUAUCGAUGGUGACGGACUGGGCGUUAAAAACGGACCCGGAGGAGACAAUAUUCCUGCGAAAAAAAGAAGAUGGUUCGUUAAAAAUUAUGAAGUUUUGUAGUAAAAAACUAUAUAUAAAAAGUGCAAUAUGACUUGAUCGAAUAACAAUAAAGAAUUUGUUGGAGCUCAAAAACUUCAAAUUUCAUUACCAUA